CCUACGGGAGGCAGCAGUAGGGAAUAUUGGUCAAUGGGUGCAAGCCUGAACCAGCCAUGCCGCGUGCAGGAAGACGGCCUUCUGGGUUGUAAACUGCUUUUUUCGGGGGAUAAAACGCCCAUGCGUGGGAGCUUGAAGGUACCCGAAGAAUAAGCCACGGCUAACUACGUGCCAGCAGCCGCGGUAAU
rnacentral:rRNA from 1 species